rnacentral:rRNA from 1 species
GACGAACGCUGGCGGCGUGCUUAACACAUGCAAGUCGAGCGGUAAGGCCCUUUCGGGGGUACACGAGCGGCGAACGGGUGAGUAACACGUGGGUGACCUGCCCUCAGCUCUGGGAUAAGCCUGGGAAACCGGGUCUAAUACUGGAUAUGACUCCAUGACGCAUGUUGUGGGGUGGAAAGCCUUGUGCGGCUGAGGAUGGGCCCGCGGCCUAUCAGCUUGUUGGUGGGGUGAGGCCUACCAAGGCGACGACGGGUAGCCGGCCUGAGAGGGCGACCGGCCACACUGGGACUGAGACACGGCCCAGACUCCUACGGGAGGCAGCAGUGGGGAAUCUUGCGCAAUGGGCGAAAGCCUGACGCAGCGACGCCGCGUGAGGGAUGACGGCCUGGUUGUAACGUAC